ensembl:snRNA U6 U6 spliceosomal RNA
GGGCUGGCUUUAGCAACUCAUAUACUAAAAUUUGAAUGAUAACAGAAAUUAGCAUGGCCCAUGUGUAAGGAUGACAUACAAAUUUAUAAGAUUCUGACUAACUUC